GAAGAUCACAUCCAGUAGACAUCGUUUACGGCGUGGACUACCAGGGUAUCUAAUCCUGUUUGCUCCCCACGCUUUCGCAUCUGAGUGUCAGUAUCUGUCCAGGGGGCCGCCUUCGCCACCGGUAUUCCUUCAGAUCUCUACGCAUUUCACCGCUACACCUGAAAUUCUACCCCCCUCUACAGUACUCUAGCCUGCCAGUUUCAAAUGCAAUUCCGAGGUUGAGCCCCGGGCUUUCACAUCUGACUUAACAAACCACCUGCAUGCGCUUUACGCCCAGUAAUUCCGAUUAACGCUCGCACCCUCCGUAUUACCGCGGCUGCUGGCACGGAGUUAGCCGGUGCUUCUUCUGCAGCUAACGUCAAAGAGUACCGCUAUUAACGAUACCCCCUUCCUCACUGCUGAAAGUACUUUACAACCCGAAGGCCUUCUUCAUACACGCGGCAUGGCUGCAUCAGGCUUGCGCCCAUUGUGCAAUAUUCCCCACUGCUGCCUCCCGUAGGAGUCUGGACCGUGUCUCAGUUCCAGUGUGGCUGAUCAUCCUCUCAGACCAGCUAGGGAUCGUCGCCUUGGUGAGCCCUUACCUCACCAACUAGCUAAUCCCACCUGGGCAUAUCCUGACGCGAGAGGCCCGAAGGUCCCCCUCUUUGAGCCGAAGCUAUCAUGCGGUAUUAGCCAUCGUUUCCAAUGGUUAUCCCCCACAUCAUGGCAAUUUCCCAGGCAUUACUCACCCGUCCGCCGCUCGCCGCCCAACAAAUCCUGAGAAGGUUCAAUGUUGUCGCUGCCGCUCGACUUGCAUGUGUUAACGGGCGAAUUCGCGGCCGCUAAAAUUCAAUUCGCCCUAUAGUGAGUCGUAUUACAAGUCACUGGGCAGCUACUUUACAAAAGGGCGAAUUUCGUUUAACCUGCAGACUAGUUCCUUUUUGUGAGGGAUUAAUCUGAGCUUGCGUAAUCAUGGGUCUGGCUGUUUCCAA
rnacentral:rRNA from 1 species